ACACAGAGUUUAUUCUUGUAUCAUUAUUUAUUAAUUGUGGUAUUAUUUUCCAUAUGAAUAACUGUAAACUUACAUUUGCCUCACCUUGUAUAUACUCUCAGGAC